GACGAACGCUGGCGGCGUGCUUAACACAUGCAAGUCGAACGGAAAGGCCCUGCUCUUGUGGGGUGCUCGAGUGGCGAACGGGUGAGUAACACGUGUGUAACCUGCCCUUGACUUUGGGAUAACUUCAGGAAAAUGGGGCUCAUACCGGAUAGGAGCUCUUGAUGCAUGGUGGGGGUUGGAAAGUUUCGGCGGUUGGGGAUGGACUCGCGGCUUAUCAGCUUGCUGGUGGGGUAGGUGCUUACCAAGGCUUUGACGGGUAGCCGGCCUGAGAGGGGUACCGGCCACAUUAGUACUACGAUACGGCGCAGACUCCUACGGUAGGCAACAGUGGGGAGUAUUACGCAAUGGGCGGAAGCCUGAUGCAGCAACGCCGCGAGCGGGAUGAUGUCCUACGGGUUGAAAACCGCUUUCGCCUGUGACGAAGCGUGAGUGACGGUAAUUGGUAAAGAAGCACCGGCUAACUACGUG
rnacentral:rRNA from 1 species